rnacentral:rRNA from 1 species
GAUGAACGCUGGCGGCGUGCUUAACACAUGCAAGUCGAACGCUGAAGCUCCCAGCUUGCUGGGGGUGGAUGAGUGGCGAACGGGUGAGUAUCACGUGAGGAACCUGCCCUGAACUGUGGGAUAAGCCUGGGAAACUGGGUCUAAUACUACAUAGGACGCUCCAUCGCAUGGUGGGGUGUGGAAAGCUUUUGCGGUUUGGGAUGGUCUCGCGGCCUAUCAGCUUGUUGGUGGGGUAAUGGCCUACCAAGGCUUUGACGGGUAGCCGGCCUGAGAGGGUGACCGGCCACACUGGGACUGAGGCACGGCCCAGACUCCUACGGGAGGCAGCAGUGGGGGAUAUUGCACAAUGGGGGAAACCCUGAUGCAGCGACGCCGCGUGAGGGAUGACGGCCUUCGGGUUGUAAACCUCUUUCAGUUGGGAAGAAGCCCCUUUUUGGGGUGACGGUACCUUCAGAAGAAGCACCGGCUAACUACGUGCCAGCAGCCGCGGUAAUACGUAGGGUGCGAGCGUUAUCCGGAAUUAUUGGGCGUAAAGAGCUCGUAGGCGGUUUGUCGCGUCUGCUGUGAAAGCCCAGGGCUUAACCCUGGGUUUGCAGUGGGUACGGGCAGGCUGGAGUGCAGUAGGGGAGACUGGAAUUCCUGGUGUAGCGGUGAAAUGCGCAGAUAUCNNNAGGAACACCGAUGGCGAAGGCAGGUCUCUGGGCUGUUACUGACGCUGAGGAGCGAAAGCAUGGGGAGCGAACAGG